GGAGCUGUGGCGCAAUGGAUAGCGCAUCAGACUUCGGAUCUGAAGAUUGCAGGUUCGAGUCCUGUCAGCUUCG
rnacentral:tRNA from 1 species